rnacentral:rRNA from 1 species
CCUACGGGAGGCAGCAGUGAGGAAUAUUGGUCAAUGGGCGGGAGCCUGAACCAGCCAAGUCGCGUGAGGGAAGACGGUCCUAUGGAUUGUAAACCUCUUUAGGCGGGGAGCAAUGCCGGGCACGCGUGCCCGGAGGGAGAGUACCCGCAGAAUAAGCAUCGGCUAACUCCGUGCCAGCAGCCGCGGUAAUACGGAGGAUGCGAGCGUUAUCCGGAUUGAUUGGGGUUAAAGGGUGCGUAGGCGGAUUUUUAAGUCAGCGGUAAAAUGUCCGGGCUCAACCCGGGCCGGCCGUUGAAACUGGGGAUCUUGAGUGGGCGAGAAGUAUGCGGAAUGCGUGGUGUAGCGGUGAAAUGCAUAGAUAUCACGCAGAACUCCGAUUGCGAAGGCAGCAUACCGGCGCCCGACUGACGCUGAGGCACGAAAGCGUGGGGAUCGAACAGGAUUAGAUACCCGAGUAGUC